UACGGGGGGAGCAAGCGUUGUUCGGAUUUACUGGGCGUAAAGGGCGCGUAGGCGGCGCAACAAGUCACUUGUGAAAUCUCCGGGCUUAACCCGGAGCGGGCAAGUGAUACUGUCGUGCUAGAGUGCGGAAGGGGCUACUGGAAUUCUCGGUGUAGCGGUGAAAUGCGUAGAUAUCGAGAGGAACACCUGCGGCGAAGGCGGGUUGCUGGGCUGACACUGACGCUGAGGCGCGAAAGCUAGGGGAGCGAACGGG
rnacentral:rRNA from 1 species